rnacentral:tRNA from 1 species
UCCCUGGUGGUUCACUGGUAAGACUCCCCACUUCCAAUGCAGGGGCUCGAGGUUCAAUCCCUAGUCAGGGAA